GGAAGCAUAACGUGCCUUAGACAGAAUCAGUGUCACCAACUACACAGAGGAAAGUAUGAGCAAGAUGGACAAAAGCAGUUCCUCUGGAUGUACACAGGAGGAAAAUGUCCUUCAGCUGGAAAGACAUGGUCAUGUUCCUUGAGGGAGAGGCCUCCUAGCAUUGAAAGUACGAGGAGUAUCUACCAUGGUGGAUAAAUGAAGAUAUCCCAUAAAGGCUGUUUACCAUUAAAAAAGAACAACACACGCUCGUUCUUUAAUGUCCGGAGCACAUCUUUGCUUGGCAGCCCGGCUAAGACCUGUCCACGGAGUAGAUGUGUGAGGUCACGUUCAGACGCUGUAAACAGCUGUUCCGGUAUGACUUCCUGACACACGAUGACAUCAUGGGGCAGUCGUGGAGGACAGUGGUGCUGAAUGACUGUCUGGGCAUGUAUGACUGGCCCCUGGGUGCCAGUAUUUGAAUCCUUAACAAAUGGAUGUUUGGUGGGACAGUGGCCAACUCCAGAUCCCAGAGACUUGGCCGAGUAUGUGCAGGAUACGGAGGACAUGACAGUAGACAAACAAUCAGCAUACACAUUCAUUCAUAUCUACCUUCUCCCUUUGAAAUGUAUUGGAAGCCAUGUAAACACAUCUAACAGUGAUUUCAUAGUGGCAGGUUAUUGUUGUUCAGUGUGUUAUGCACUUUGCCCUGGAUGCUGCUAACUAUGCUAGAAUGCUGUACCUAAAAGACAACUUCUAGUUGUUACUACACACUUUUAAAUUUAAGCAGACACACUUAUCCAGAGUGACUUACAGUAGGGAGUGCAUACAUUUUUCAUCAUUUUUCCAAACUGGUCCCCGGUGGUAAUCGAACCCACAACCCUGGCGUUGCAAGCACCAUGCUCUACCAACUAGGCAUUGACCCAAAUGUUCUCCAUAAAAACAAAAAAGGUUGACAGUAGAGAAACAGAUAAACAGUUAUGGAGACAAUACGACUACAGGCUAUGUAUUUCUCUACUUCAAUAAACAUAUAUCCAGGGACACAAAACUGUUGAAAUACAAUGACACGCCAGUUCAAUACAAUACAACUUCUGGUGUCCGAAGUCCUGUAAGCUGCACCUGUUGUUGUCUCCCUCCAAUACCAGAGCUAUGAGGACCACAGCCAAGUACGAUCCUAGGACACAGGUGGAUGGGACACAAACACUGGUUAUUUUGUAUUUGUAAUCAAAAUAAAUACACUGACUUAUAUAAAAACGUAAAUAUAUUAGAAACUAAACCUUGCACCAUUUUUUGUUUUCUUCAGCAACUCAGCCAUGAUUCAUAGAGUUAAACGACUUGAGUGUCAAUGAGGAUUCACUAGUAGCUAUCCUGUCACGGUCUGCACUCUGAUUAAAAAAGGAUUGUGGAUGCUCCAGUUUCAACUGUUCUGCCUUAUUAUUAUUCGACCAUGCUGGUCAUUUAUGAACAUUUGAACAUCUUGGCCAUGUUCUGUUAUAAUCUCCACCCGGCACAGCCAGAAGAGGACUGGCCACCCCACAUAGCCUGGUUUCUUCCUAGGUUUUGGCCUUUCUAGGGAGUUUUUCCUAGCCACCGUGCUUCUACACCUGCAUUGUUUGCUGUUUGGGGUUUUAGGCUGGGUUUCUGUACAGCACUUUGAGAUAUCAGCUGAUGUACGAAGGGCUAUAUAAAUUGAUUUGAUUGGUUGCGUGACCAGCAGGGCUAUUGUGAUCAGAUUGCAGAUACACUUAAAAAACUAGACGAUUGCUUCUCCGAUUACUUUUGAAUUCGGAAGAGAUGUUUCGGGGGCAAAAAAGGUGCAUUGUGACACCUUUCUGUUUUCUUGGUGGCAUUCGGUUUGACUUUGAAAACGGUGCUAGUUUGGGUCUGUUCCACCUGAGCUUUCAAACUGCGGGUAAGGGACCACUGUGAUGACACGGCAGGUUUGUUUGAUGGAUCCUUUUUGUCUUCUUCUGGGGCCUCUUGGGGGGAGGUGAAAGUGUACAUUUGUGUGGUACUGAUCCUGUGACUAUUAGUACUGUUUUGGAGGGAGGGCAUAGCCCCCCCCCCCCUUUGCAACUACCAUUCUCUUACCAACUAUAUUAUUUACGUAUUUAUUUUUAUUUAUGUAUUGUAUGUCUCGUUUUGCUCUAUAUGGAAAGAACACGUUUAAUUAUUUGUAAUGAACAUCUACAUCUUUGAAAAUUCAAUGGAAACAUUGAAAAGAAUGUGGGGCACUCUCUUUCAGUGUUAGCUUGUGAUGUUAUAUAUCAAAUCUAUCCAACCUAUAUUGAUUGUGACUUAUGUCUUUGACAGGUCAGAGACCCCAAGACUGCUGGUGAUGCCAGGAGUGAUGGUAGGAGAAACGGGGGAAAAACUGGGUGAGAACGGACUGGACAAUGAACAGGUUCAAUACCAUUUGUUUUUAUAGAAAAUAAAAUGCCUUUCAUCACACCAUCCUAUUCUUUGGCAUUCAGUCUAAUUGGGAGACAUUCGUGUUAUUAUAUUACUAAACACUCAUUCAUUGUGAACCUCUUUUUGCACCCCUACUGGAUGGAAAUUACAAAUGUAAUGGCUGUGCUCAAUGCAAUUGCACUUAUAAAUGUAGAUCCUUCAAACACCCACAAACAGGGAAAUCGAUCCCAAUCAAAGGUUUUUAUUACGUGCUCCACUAAGGCAGUUAUUUAUCUUAUAACUUGUCC
ensembl:lncRNA